GACAGAGGGGGCGAGCGUUGUUCGGAAUUACUGGGCGUAAAGGGCGCGUAGGCGGCCCGCUAAGUCGAACGUGAAAUCCCUCGGCUUAACCGGGGAACUGCAUCUGAUACUGGAUGGCUUGAGAUUGGGAGAGGGAUGCGGAAUUCCAGGUGUAGCGGUGAAAUGCGUAGAUAUCUGGAGGAACACCGGUGGCGAAGGCGGCAUCCUGGACCAACACUGACGCUGAGGAGCGAAAGCCAGGGGAGCAAACGGG
rnacentral:rRNA from 1 species